rnacentral:ncRNA from 1 species
AGAAUAUUUUUAAAUUAGAUGAGUAAUUUUUAGUUUGUUUCUAGAGAGUUAGCGGUUGGUGAAAGCUAAUAACAAAGAAAAUGAAUUGGGCUAAUGGUUAUAUUGAAAGGAACGCAUAACUUUCAGGUCUGGCACCCCUUAUCGUGCAACUUCUAAAGAAUUAAGAAGAUGAUGAGAUGAUGGAAAAACAGUUCUAUCAAUUGAGGUGGUACCGCGUAUUUAUUGUAAUCACGCCCUCACG